UCUGUACAUAUUGCAUGUAUUCAUCAGGUAUGAAAGGCUGAUCACCUUCAUUACCAGUCAGUUCAGAUAUAAUUGUUAUGUUCAUUUUCAAUGUUCAUUCAGCUUUGAAAUUUUGUUCAUGCUAAUUCACAACUACAUUGUGAAGGAUAGCCAGCUUAUUAUUCAAACUCUUUCAAUCAUGAUAUAUCUUUACCUUGUUUUUUUUAAACUUGCUGGGCAACUUUCAUGCUCACACUUGCUAUAUCAUGAUAAAACAUUGCAGAUAAGGCGAAUACGGCCAGUUACAGGAAAAGGAUGAUGCCAAGUUCAGCUUGGGAUAGAAUGUGAAGUUAAGUUGUAAAGUAUGUUGAAGAAUAGUAUUGUCAUGUGUUAGACAGUCAUGAUUGUGUAUAAGUUAAGGUUACUCGAUUUUGGGAAUAGUGUGUAAAGUUUAAUGUAUAAACAAUUUAUGUUUAUAUCUUCCGCAAACAGUUGUAGAAAUAGCGAACCGGAUCCGCGGCGAUUCGGGACCCGAAUUCGGGGCUGCUACAGAAU
rnacentral:lncRNA from 1 species